CCUGCGAUUCUGUAACUCACUUCACACACCCUCAGCGCUGAUUUUUGCUGUCAAAUCGUUCGUUUCGGUGUCAUGUUACAAUUUGGUAUUCUGUUAAACAAUAACCGCGACAAAAGCGCCGCUCAAAUGAGAUUGUUAACAUUUGGAACUAAAAUUUGGCACUGCUACACUUACGCUCCAAAAUUGUUGGUAUUUGGUAUUCUGAUACAUACCAUUUGACAUCUCAUCUCACUUAAAUGUACAUUUUGUACGACAAUUGACAAAUUAAAAGUUGCUCUUCCCUCGCUGAAAUCGUCAUUUACCAAUUACCAGUGAGUUAGCCAUUUUUAGCGAAGUUAAAACUUGUUUUAUGUGAAAAUAUUCUAACAUAGGACAAUCUAUAUGUAUCUUGGGAAGGCCCGUUUCCACUUUUAAAGUUUAAACCUCUAUUUCAA